rnacentral:rRNA from 1 species
GGCAAUUCUAGAGCUAAUACAUGCAAUCAAGCUCCAACCUUCGGGGACGAGCGCUCUUAUUAGACCAAGGCCAACCUGCUGGGCAACUGGCAGUUAGCUGUGGUGACUCUGGAUAAACACAGUUGAUCGCACGACUUUACGUCGGCGACGUAUCUUUCAAGCGUAUGCCCUAUCAGCUGUCGACGGUAGGGUAGCGGCCUACCGUGGCAUCAACGGGUAACGGGGGAUCAGGGUCCGAUCCCGGAGAGUAAGCCUGAGAGACGGCUUACACAUCUAAGGAAGGCAGCAGGCGCGCAAAUUACCCAAUGGGGAAACCCUGAGGUAGUGACAAGAAAUAACAAUACGCGACUCUUUCGAGGCCGCGUAAUUGGAAUGAGCACAGUCUAAAUCCUUUAGCGAGGAUCAAUUGGAGGGCAAGUCUGGUGCCAGCAGCCGCGGUAAUUCCAGCUCCAAUAGCGUAUAUUAAAGUUGCUGCAGUUAAA